rnacentral:rRNA from 1 species
GACGAACGCUGGCGGCGUGCUUAACACAUGCAAGUCGAACGGAAAGGCCCUGCUUGCAGGGUACUCGAGUGGCGAACGGGUGAGUAACACGUGGGUGAUCUGCCCUGCACUUCGGGAUAAGCCUGGGAAACUGGGUCUAAUACCGGAUAGGAGCCAUUUUUAGUGUGAUGGUUGGAAAGUUUUUUCGGUGUAGGAUGAGCUCGCGGCCUAUCGGCUUGUUGGUGGGGUAAUGGCCUACCAAGGCGGCGACGGGUAGCCGGCCUGAGAGGGUGGACGGCCACAUUGGGACUGAGAGACGGCCCAGACGCCGACGGGAGGCAGCAGUGGGGAAGAUUGCACAAGGGGCGCAAGCCGGAUGCAGCGACGCCGCGUGGGGGAUGACGGCCUUCGGGUUGUAAACGCCUUUCGCUAGGGACGAAGCUUUUUGUGACGGUACCUAGAUAAGAAGCACCGGCUAACUACGUG